GGCUGGGCUCCUCCGAGGGGGAGGUUUGCUUUGGAGAAUGGAGGCGGUGGCCCUGUUGGCCCUGUGCGUGAAGCCAGCAAAGCUUUAAUCCUCCCUCCUACCUGGCAGGGACUCCCUGCGGGGCUUGAGGUGGUGCACGGCUAUGAGGUUUCCAGACAAGUGAAAGACGGGCCACCGCAGAGUCACGGUCCCGUCCUCAGUCCUGAUGUCUCUGGAGAUGGUGUCAAAGGAUCCGAAGGUGGGAAUCCAGACCCCCUACAAGUGGUAGAGAAAGGAAGGGCGGCAGGGUUAUGGGCCGGCUGGCUGGAGGAAGAGCCCAUGUAGCGGUCCAAGGCAGGGACGGAGCUCAGGAGCCCUCUCCCGCUGUUCAGAGGCACGAGCCAGGGCAUCGGAAUGGCUUUGGGAAGGGGCUGCACAGUCCUCUCCUUCCCCUCGCCCUCCCAAAUGCAGCACAGCAGUCAGGGCAGAAGCAGCCUGAUGGGAUCCAGAGGCUUCCCGCGAGCGGGAUCAGCCCUGAGACAGGACAGCGCCCAGCACAAGUGAUCCUGCGGGAUUUGCAGGAAGCCCAUGGCAUGCCCAGUAGAGACACGUGGGGUGAUUUCCUGCUUUCUGUGGAGGGGAAGAGUGGGAGGAAGUCUUGGCUGAGGCGGACAGGGAGAGGAGGAACCCGGCAGCCAACCCACCUUCUGCACCAGGAGGUGCUCUUGUACGUAGGCGGCCACUGCAUCCCAGACGGCAACUCGCUCUGGAGGGCAAAGGAAAAGCGGGUCACACUCUGCACCUGCCGCUUCCCGGCAGCCCUCCCGCUGCCAGGCGGGAGUGAGGUGGCAGAUGGAAAGUGUCGUCUGCGUGCCAGGAUUGGCUGCAGCAGCGCUCCUGUGGUGGCUGUGGAGCCGUGUACCUUCGGUGUCGGUGCAUGUGGGUCCGGAGGCACGCCUCGCUGCGGGGCCAUCCUCGCAGAAGCUCAUCCUGUUCCGCCUCGUGCCAGCGGGUUGCUCCUUGUUGGCGCCAGCCAUGCCGGAGCUCAUCCCUUCAGGUGCGUCUGCUCUCUACCAGAUGCUCCUUCAGGAUGCAGGACCCACCAGCGUGCACCGCCUUCAUACCCCUCCCGGGUGGCCGUGUCACAAACGUCGCCACGGCGACGCGGUGACAGCGUGGCCAGUGCUGGCCGCCGCCCAUGAUGACGCUGGCACCAGCAGCCUGCUGCCCACCCCGGGUGGCAGUGCUGGCACCUCUCUGUUUCCUCUCUCUUCUCUUCUUUGCUCUCCAUGUUAUGUGACUCGUUUUUCUUUCGUAGCCGUUGCCUGAAUUGAUCUUCAAGUUGUUGACACAGAAACAACACCUGUUCCAAAGGACUCUACGCGUAACGUUGAAGACCUGUUGCCAGAAGGUUUCUUAGUUUUGCCUGGCAGUUUUUUCCUUGAUUCUUUGUUGGAACGCUCACUGAAUUACCCGGCAUUGAUCCUCGACGUCAUUGUGGUGACUGCGUCGCACCCGCAACCCUAGCGGGCAGGGAGUGCUGUGUUUGGGGGAUCUGCACCUGCACUCCCCUUCUGCUGUCCUUUCUUCCCUGUAGCCUCGCUUGCUUUUGCAUUUGCACUUCUCUUAGGCUCUUGGUUCUUCCCUGUAUUCUCCCUGCUUUUCCGUCUGCAUUCUCACUCUUUUCCUGUUUUUUCUCUUCUGCUUCUCUUCUGCUGUUCUAUCCUCUGUGUAUCCUCACUGCUCUUUCAUCUCUAUCCGUGCUCUUCAGUGUUUUUUUCCCCUGCUUCCUCUCCGUACUUCGUCUGCCCUGCUUUUCUUCCCUGUAACGUGACGUCUCUUUUCUUCUGCAUCUGCUCUCCUCCUCCUCUUUCUUCCCUGUAUUCUCACUGUUCAUUCUCGUGCAGCUGUGCUCCUCUUCUGCUGUUCUUUCCUCCUUGUAUCCUCACUCUUCUGAUGGUUUCCAUUGCAUCUCACCACUGCACUUCCACCUGCAUCUGCUUUUCUCUUCUGCUGUAUGUUUCCCUGCUUCCUCACUCCUCUUUCUUCUGCAUUGGCUCUACUCUUCUGCUCUUCUUUCUUCCCUCACUCCUUUUCCAUCUGCCCACCUCUUAGGCUCUCCCUUCUUUUCUAUCCUCCCUGCUCUUUCCUCUGCAUUCUCACUCUUCUCCUGUUCUUAUUCCCCUGCAUCAUCCUCACUCCUUUUCCCUCUGCAUCAGCACUGCUCUUCUGUUGGAUUUUGUUUCCUGUUGCCAGACUUGUCUUUAUUCUGCAUCUGCACUCCUCUUCUACUGCUCUUUCUUCUCUGUAUCCUCUCUCCUCUUUCUUCUGCCUCUGCACUCCUCUCGCUUUGCUUUGUCCCCCGUAUUCUCACUUGUCUUUCUUCUGACUGCUCUCCUCUUCUGCUCUUUGUUGUUCCCAAGUUCAGAAGAAAGCCGGAGAGGAUUUCUGACCAAAGCACAGAGCAAGCGGCAUGGAGGAAUUGAAUCGGCACGGCCCAAAGUGAAAGAAGAGGGAUGGUCGUUUGAUGGAGAGUGCUUUUGUUACGGCCUGCAGAGCCUUUGGUGCAUCUUUUUAUUCCUUCAGGAUUUGUUAUGUUUUGUAGCACUAAGCUUAGGCCGUCCUUCUGGGGGUGAUGGGUGGAGCAGUGGCUGGAUAAGGAAGUGGCUGGAUGGUGGCACUCAGGGAGCUGCAGUCGGCGGCUCAGUGUCCAAGUGGAGCGCGGUGACGAGCGGCGUUCCUCAGGGCUCAGUGCUGGGAGUGGUGAUGGGAGCGGUGCCCUUGAACAUCUUGAUAGGCGACAGGGAGAGUGGGAUCGUGUGCACCCUCGUCGUGUGUGCAGGCGAUACUGAGCUGAGUGGUGCAGGUGAGGCGUUAGAGGGAAGGGAUGCUAUCCAGAGGGACGUGGAGAGCCUUAGAGGUGGGCCCAUGCCAGCGUGAGGAAGUUCAGCGAGGCCGAGAGCAAGGCCCUGCAUUUGGGUCGGGGUGAUCUCAACCCCAGGGUGAGCACAGCUGACGUGGGUUGGGUGGAGAAUGGCUGGAGAGCGGCCCCGUGGAGAAGGAUUUGGGAGUGUGGACUGCUGAGAGAUUGAGCGCGAGCUGGCAAGGUGUGCUCGCUGCCCAGAAGGCCAAGCGUAGCCUGGGUUGCGUGAAGAGGAAGAAGCGUGGAAGUGGGAGAGUGUAUGUUUAGACCAGGUGUUGGGAAGAAGUUCCUUACUGUGAGGCUGCCAUGGCAGACGUUUUCUUUGGAAUAUACAAGUGGUGUUCCAGGUAUCCUGUGAGGUCUUCAACAGUCACAUCAUCGACAUAGGUGGGAGCCUCCUCAGAAUAGGAUGUGGGAGAAGUCCACGAGGCUGUUUCACAGAGGGGUCUGUUAAGCGUGGAUAAGGAGAAACAAGCUGAGGUUUGGCUGUUGUGUGAGUCAGAGUGGAAGGAUGAGGGCAGAGCGAGGCAGUUCUCCCGUGACAGAGCGCAGUGUCUCCUGGUGGAGGCAGAAAUCCCCACCGUGCUCAGUGCUGUUCCCUGCCACCACGUCAGCCCACAUCCCCUGCUGGGGACAGCGUGCUGCCAGCAUAUGCCGGGUCACCUGCUGUCCGUGGGGACCGGGUAACGGCACGGAGCAGUGUGAGGACUGCAGCCCCGCUUAGCAGUGUGCCCCGUGGAUGUGGGGCUGCCCCAUGGCUGUGGCCGCUGCAGUGAGGGCUCCUGCGUGGGGCUGCGGUGUGUGCCUGCCUGCCUGCCAUCCCAGGGUGGGCCGGGAGAGGAGAGCAGCUGAGCUGGCAUGGUGCCUGCGCCUGGGGAGCUAUUUGGAGAUGCGUUUGAUGUCUCCGCCGCAAGGGUGAUGGAUGCUGGGGCGAACGUCGUGAUGGCACAGCCAACGCUCUGUGCUGGGCUUUGAAGUCUCCCGAGCGGAGCAUCCCAGCUCGCAGAUUUGGGAAGACAUGGACUACGGGGCAGGAGAUGCUACUUGCCAAGGCGGCUCCGUGAGGAGCAGCCUCAGAGCUCAACAUCCCAGCUGCACCCUGCUCCAGGAGGACGCAGGAGUUCCCCGUCAGCUGUCCCUUCCUCCGCAUCUCUGUCACUGUGUCCCCGGUGUGCAGAGCCCGGUGAGAUGCCGCCACGCACCGUGGGCUCCUGAAGCCAUGGAGCAGCACAGACCCAAGGAGGAGGACGAGCAGGCUGAGGUGAUGCUGCCCGUUGCUUGCAGUGGGUGCUGCAGCUUGCCUGGAGGAAGCCCCCACAAUAACUCAGUGCGUAAACGUGGGAGGAUACAGGACAGGAGACCUGGAACGUCCGUGCCGUGAGAGACCGGCCGGUCCUCCUGCAGUCCUCUCACACCUGCAGGGUCAGAACAGGUGAACAGACUGAGACGGCUGUUGGUGUGCAGUCCCUGACAGGAGCAGCGGAAGAGCCUUAAGGAAGCGGGGCUCUCCCAGAAGAGAGAGGCACGCAAACACUGCUGCUGUAAAGGGCAGGUGAGGAAGACGGAGCUUUAGCCGGGAAGCCUUUUCAAAGCCCCUUGCCACGGUAACAAUGAGCUCUCCAAGCACCGCAAAGUUCAGAAGAAAGCCGGAGAGGAUUUCUGACCAAAGCACAGAGCAAGCGGCAUGGAGGAAUUGAAUCGGCACGGCCCAAAGUGAAAGAAGAGGGAUGGUCGUUUGAUGGAGAGUGCUUUUGUUACGGCCUGCAGAGCCUUUGGUGCACCUUUUUAUUCCUUCAGGAUUUGUUAUGUUUUGUAGCACUAAGCUUAGGCCGUCCUUCUGGGGGUGAUGGGUGGAGCAGUGGCUGGAUAAGGAAGUGGCUGGAUGGUGGCACUCAGGGAGCUGCAGUCGGCGGCUCAGUGUCCAAGUGGAGCGCGGUGACGAGCGGCGUUCCUCAGGGCUCAGUGCUGGGAGUGGUGAUGGGAGCGGUGCCCUUGAACAUCUUGAUAGGCGACAGGGAGAGUGGGAUCGUGUGCACC
ensembl:lncRNA